rnacentral:rRNA from 1 species
AUUGAACGCUGGCGGCGUGCUUAACACAUGCAAGUCGAACGCGAAAGGGACUUCGGUCCUGAGUAAAGUGGCGCACGUGUGAGUAACGCGUGCAUAAUCUGCCCUUAUGAUUGGAAUAACAGGUGGAAACGGCUGCUAAUACCGGAUACGCUCAAAAUGAACUUUUGGAGGAAAGAUCGCCUCUGCUUGCAUGCUAUCGCAUCAGGAUGAGUCCGCGCCCCGUUAGCUUGUGGGCGGGGUAACGGCCCACCAAGGCAACGAUGGGUAGCCGAUUUGAGAGGAUGAUCGGCCACACUGGAACUGAAACACGGUCCAGACUCCUACGGGAGGCAGCAGUGGGGAAUAUUGCGCAAUGGGCGAAAGCCUGACGCAGCGACGCCGCGUGAGGGAUGAAGGUUUUCGGAUCGUAAACCUCUGUCAGAAGGGAAGAAACUACGUUGUGCUAAUCAGCAGCGUACUGACGGUACCUUCAAAGGAAGCACCGGCUAACUCCGUGCCAGCAGCCGCGGUAA